rnacentral:rRNA from 1 species
GACGAACGCUGGCGGCGUGCUUAACACAUGCAAGUCGAACGGAAAGGCCCUGCUUUUGUGGGGUGCUCGAGUGGCGAACGGGUGAGUAACACGUGAGUAACCUGCCCUUGACUUUGGGAUAACUUCAGGAAACUGGGGCUAAUACCGGAUAGGAGCUCCCGCUGCAUGGUGGGGGUGGGAAAGUUUCGGCGGUUGGGGAUGGACUCGCGGCUUAUCAGCUUGUUGGUGGGGUAGUGGCUUACCAAGGCUUUGACGGGUAGCCGGCCUGGGAGGGUGACCGGCGUCAAUGGGACUGAGAUACGGACCAGACUCCUACGGGAGGCAGCAGUGGGGAAUAUUGCACAAUGGGCGGAAGCCUGAUGCAGCAACGCCGCGUGCGGGAUGACGGCCUUCGGGUUGUAAACCGCUUUCGCCUGUGACGAAGCGUGAGUGACGGUAAUGGGUAAAGAAGCACCGGCUAACUACGUG